rnacentral:rRNA from 1 species
GCCGCGGGAACACCGGCGGCCCGAGUGGUGAUCGUGAUUAUUGGGUCUAAAGGGUCCGUAGCCGGUUUGGUCAGUCCUCCGGGAAAUCUGAUAGCUCAACUAUUAGGCUUUCGGGGGAUACUGCCAGACUUGGAACCGGGAGAGGUAAGAGGUACUACAGGGGUAGGAGUGAAAUCUUGUAAUCCCUGUGGGACCACCUGUGGCGAAGGCGUCUUACCAGAACGGGUUCGACGGUGAGGGACGAAAGCUGGGGGCACGAACCGGAUUAGAUACCCGGGUAGUCCCAGCCGUAAACGAUGCUCGCUAGGUGUCAGGCAUGGCGCGACCGUGUCUGGUGCCGCAGGGAAGCCGUGAAGCGAGCCACCUGGGAAGUACGGCCGCAAGGCUGAAACUUAAAGGAAUUGGCGGGGGAGCACAACAACGGGUGGAAGCCUGCGGUUUAAUUGGACUCAACGCCGGACAACUCACCGGGGGCGACAGCAAUAUGUAGGCCAAGCUGAAGACUUUGCCUGAAUCGCUGAGAGGAGGUGCAUGG